rnacentral:rRNA from 1 species
UGAGGAAUACUGCGCAAUGAGCGAAAGCUAGACGCAGCAACGCCGCGUGGACGAUGAAGGCCUUCGGGUCGUAAAGUCCUUUUCAGAGGGACGAGUGAGGACGGUACCUCUGGAAUAAGUCACGGCUAACUACGUGCCAGCAGCCGCGGUAAAACGUAGGUGGCAAGCGUUAUCCGGAUUCACUGGGCGUAAAGCGCCUGCAGGCGGUCUUGUAAGUGGGAUGUGAAAUCUCCUGGCUUAACUGGGAGGGGCCAUUCCAUACUGCGGGACUCGAGGGCAGAAGAGGGAAGCGGAAUUCCCGGUGUAGUGGUGAAAUGCGUAGAUAUCGGGAGGAACACCAGUGGCGAAGGCGGCUUCCUGGCCUGCUCCUGACGCUAAGAGGCGAAAGCUAGGGGAGCGAACGGGAUUAGAAACCCCGGUAGUCCUAGCCGUAAACGAUGGAUACUGGGUGUCGGCGGUCCUAACCCCGUCGGUGCCGAAGCCAACGCGUUAAGUAUCCCGCCUGGGGACUACGGCCGCAAGGUUA